rnacentral:rRNA from 1 species
UCCCCUAGUAACUGCGAGUGAAGCGGGAAAAGCUCAAAUUUAAAAUCUGGUAGUCUCUGGCUGCCCGAGUUGUAAUCUGGAGAAGUGUUUUCUGUGCUGGGCCGUGUACAAGUCUCUUGGAAUAGAGCGUCAUAGAGGGUGAGAAUCCCGUCUUUGACACGGACAUCCAGUGCUCUGUGAUGCACUCUCAAAGAGUCGAGUUGUUUGGGAAUGCAGCUCAAAAUGGGUGGUAAAUUCCAUCUAAAGCUAAAUAUUGGCAAGAGACCGAUAGCGAACAAGUACCGUGAGGGAAAGAUGAAAAGAACUUUGGAAAGAGAGUUAAACAGUACGUGAAAUUGUUGAAAGGGAAACGCUUGAAGUCAGUCGCGUCUAGCAAGGAUCAGCCCUUCUCGGAGGGUGUAUUUCUUGCUUGACGGGUCAACAUCAAUUUUGACUACUGGAAAAAGGCCAGAGGAAGGUGGCACCUUCGGGUGUGUUAUAGCCUUUGGUCAUAUACAGUAGUUGGGAUUGAGGAAUUCAGCAUGCCUUCAUGGCUGGGGUUCGCCCACAUUCAUGCUUAGGAUGUUGGCAUAAUGGCUUUAAGCGACCCGUCUUGAAACACGGACCAAGGAGUCUAACAUACCUUGC